GGUGGCGUCGAGCGUCGGGGGUCGGGAGUCGUGGGCCGAGGGUCUGGGUCGGGGGUCAGUGGCGUCGGGGGUCGAUGGUCGGGGGUCAGUGUCGUCGGGCGUCAGGGGUCGGGGGUCGAGGGUCAGUUUCGGGGUACCGGGGUUCCCUUUUGCUCUUCUUUCUUCUUCUCCUCUCUCCUCUUUUUCUUCUUCUUCUUCUUCUCUUCUUCUUCUUCUNCUUCUUCUUCUUCUUUUUUCUCCUCCUACUCCCCCUCCUCUUUUUCUCCUCCUAUUAUUUUUCUUCUUCUUCUUCUUCUUCUUCUUCUUCUUCUUGUUCUUGUUCUUCUGCUUCUUCUUCUUCUUUCUCCUCCUCUUCUU
rnacentral:lncRNA from 1 species